rnacentral:rRNA from 1 species
UACGUAGGGGGCUAGCGUUGUCCGGAAUCAUUGGGCGUAAAGCGCGUGUAGGCGGCCCGGUAAGUCCGCUGUGAAAGUCGGGGGCUCAACCCUCGAAAGCCGGUGGAUACUGUCGGGCUAGAGUACGGAAGAGGCGAGUGGAAUUCCUGGUGUAGCGGUGAAAUGCGCAGAUAUCAGGGGGAACACCGAUUGCGAAGGCAGCUCGCUGGGACGUUACUGACGCUGAGACGCGAAAGCGUGGGGAGCAAACAGG